rnacentral:tRNA from 1 species
GCGAGUGUGAUGGAAUCGGUAGACAUACAGGACUUAAAAUCCUGAGGCCGCAAGGUCGUGCGGGUUCGAGUCCCGCCACUCGCACCA